AUGAUUUCGGAGGUGCACAGCUUCGGCGUCCGGACCAGCAAGUACACGGAGAAGGGCUUGCCGAUCCUCGCCAGGCAAACCAGCACCCCGAAGCCGGACCGGUGGCUGAUGCUGGAGCUCCGCGGAGACGGCCAUGACGAGAUCAUGCUCGCCAUACGAAAUGACAACCUCUACAUCGAGGCCUUCGCCAACAGCUCCGGGAAGUGGCACACCUUCGCCAACAUCCGCAACCUCAUCCCACGGGCCACCAUCCUCCCCUUCAAGGACAGCUACAGGGGGCUGGUGAACGGGCACGCCAACCUCGGGAUGCUGGAGCUCGGCAAGGAGACCACGCUCCGGGCGCUCCACGAGUUGGCCGUGUACAAGCAGUCAGUUGGCGCCGACACCAGCUGCGUCUCCCGCGCCCUGGCCAUAAUGGCUGUCACCUUCUGCGAAGCAACGCGCCUCAGGCCAAUCCAAGACUACAUCCUGCCCAAAUGGCUCUCCGGUGGCGCCACGAUCCAGAAACCCUUGUAUGUGGUGAGAUGGUCCGACAUGUCCUGCGCCGUCCUUGUUGCGCGCCAGAAAAAGGGACGCUACGACGGGCCUGAGGCUGUCAAGCUCAAGGACGAGUUGGGCAUGACAAGCCUGAAUGAGGUCGUCGGUGCCCUCUCUCUCAUCCUCUGGCCCAAGGACAACUCCUGCGACUCAGGCCCCAUCACCUGGCCUAGGGCAUGA
rnacentral:rRNA from 1 species